rnacentral:lncRNA from 1 species
UUACUUCCGACAGGUUCAAAUGGGGUCUAUUCACCAUUCAAAACGCUAAUCUUGAGCGAGCAAAAUCUGUUUCUGAGUUGUCAUGCUCGCUAGGCGAGCAGCAUGGUUCGCUAGGCGAACUGAACUGUCAUGCUCGCUAGGCGAAGCCCACGCGUUUUGAAAAGAAAAAAAAAACUAAUAAAAAAAAAACAAAUUCUUCCUCCCAACACAGAUCACAGGGGCAAAUGGACAUCGAACUAUGAGGGUCCAUACGUGGUUAAAAUAGUUUUCUCUGUCGGAGCUUUAUGCUAACGACCAUGGAUGGCGAAGACAUCCCAUCCCCUGUCAACUCAGACGCAGUUAAAAAAUACUUCGCGUAAUUGACCCGCUGGAUAAAAGAAAAAGAAUCCAGGCAAAAAAGGGCAUCCCGACGAACCAAAAAAAAAGAAUAAAGAGGUUCGGGCAAAAAUUAGGGAUAUAAAAGAAAAAAAAAUGUACACCUGGUGAGUCGAAAACCCGAAAGGGCGGCUCAGGCAAAAAAGGGCAUCCCAGUGGAUUGAAAACCCAAAAGGGCAGUCCACGCAAAAGAGGGAAUAAGCGAAUGAUUGCGAUCUGAGUUCAUCAGUGUUAUAUCACCGUUUCAUUCAAUCCGACGAUCUUUGAAGGUUAAAGAUCGACUAAUCAUCCACUUUAGAAGGCAAGAUGAGCAGAGCGUCUUGAGGUCAUACGAGCCAUAGCAGAGUCGAAACUCAGUGGGACCCCGUAUUCACAUUGCCAUUAGGAUAGUUAGCAAGAUGAGCAGAGCGUCUUGAGGUCAUACGAGCCAUAGCAGAGUCGAAACUCAGUGGGACCCCGUAUUCACAUUGCCAUUAGGAUAGUUUUCUUUUGUUCAAUUUAUAGCGAUCGCCUCUUUUCAAGGAUCAGCUUCCUGAUGUACUCGCCUAUUCCUGGCACAUUUUUUCAACCAAUAAAAGUCGAAUAAUUCAGUUAAAGAGCCUUUUUAUUCUUCAUUUAUCAGUUUGUUUGCAAAAGAUGUCUUCAUUCUUGAUUAAACAUAUUGCAUCUGAACAUAAUGGUGGCUUUUGCAAAUGAUUUGCACAGGAAAACAUUUAAAAUCGCUUUGAAUGUGCUUAAUCCCGAACGGUGAAUUCAAACCGAGUAAUUCCCCCGGGACAUACAUGCGUGUUUGCAGGUCACAGGAACCGAAUGCCAAGUCAUGAAUCCUCAUCCCCGAGCGGUUGACAAAGUCUCCCCUCAGUAGAGCAUGUCCCCCCAGUAGAGUUGCACCUUGUAUCCCCAGCAACAGCGGAGUAGUUGCAUACCCAACAAACAAGAGGGUGUCCCCAGUGUUCAUCUCAUUCCCCAGCAGUUUUUUUGUAACAAAUUUGUUUUGAUCCCCAGCCUGAGGACGAUUAGCAAGUUCAUAUCCCCAACAAGGGUCGAUUCCUACGACAUUUCCCCAGGAAGUGAUUUCCCCACAGACUCUCCUCACAGAGCCUCGCCAAGCAAAGUUCUCAUAGUUGAUACUCCCCUAGCAAGGUCAACUUUUCAAAAAAAGUCGAUUUGUUUUCGGUGGCUCCCCGGUCCCGGCAGACGGAUCAUUCCCCACAGAGCAUUCAAGGAUUUAUACAGCGAUUCGUUCCCUACCGGAGUUUGCUUCCCCAAGCAGAUUUCUUUUUGCACCAUGCAUAGCAUUUGCAUUUGCAUACAUAUUAAGCAUACACAUAAGCAUAUAAACAGGUUCUUCAAAGCGGACUGAAGAACUACUUUACAACCAAAGUCAUGAGAUUCAGCCAGAGAAUCAGUGUGUAGAUCACAUGAGGGUCAAUUUCGAAGAUUCAGCCUGGAGAAUCGUUUUCCCAAAGAGCCAGGCCUAAGGUUCAAUUUGAAAGAUUCAGCCAGAGAGCCGCCUACAAGCGUUUUAUUCCCUAGCAAGCCAGCUAGAGGAGUAGAAUUGACAAUUCACAGAAAAAUCACCUUACAAGAGGAUCCAGCCGCGAUCGCGAUUAAAAAAGGGAUCUAUCGAAGAGUCGAUACAAGGCACAUGUCAGACUGAAGAUAUUACGAAGCCAGAAAGUGGAAUAUUCUCGAAGCUGCAUAUCUAACAUGAAGAUUGGGUGUAGAUUUCGAAAGAGGGUCAACCAGCGCGUGCCUCAGAUGCGAGAUCCUGACGAAGGGAAUUUAUCAUCAAAACGAUCCAGAUCUAGCCAGAAGAUCGAAGAAGGUCUAGCCCGAAGAUCGAAAAUAGAUUCAGCCAGAGAAUCAAAGAGAUUAGAUUCAGCCAGAGAAUCAAACCGAAGUAGAUCUAGCCAGAAGAUCGAAGAAGGUCUAGCCCGAAGAUCGAAAAUAGAUUCAACCAGAGAAUCAAAGAAGAUAGAUUCAUCCAGAGAAUCGAAACAAAGAAGAUCUAGCCAGAAGAUCGAAGUAGAUCUAGCCAGAAGAUCGAAAUAGAUUCAGCCAGAAAACCAAAGAGAAUAGAUUCAGCCAGAGAAUCGAAGAAAUCAGAUCUAGCCAGAAGAUCGAAUCGUAUCCAGCCCGAGGAUCAAAAUCAGAUCUAGCCAGAAGAUCGAAGUUCUAGAUCGGUCUUCUAGGAAUCGUAUCCAGCCCGAGGAUCAAAAUCAGAUCUAGCCAGAAGAUCGAAGUAGAUCUAGCCAGAAGAUCAAAAUCGUAUCCAGCCCGAGGAUCAAAAUCGUAUCCAGCCCGAGGAUCAAAAUUAAUAUCCAACCAGAGGACUAAAUUGAGUAUAGAUUCAGCCAGAGGAUUGAAACUCCAGAUUAAGUCAGAAGACUGAUUCAGAUUCAGCCAGAGGAUCGGAAUAAACAGGGCGGUGUAUUUCGGCCUUUUUGUGGUGUUCUCAGAGCGCAAAUUUUCGGUCUAUCUUUGGUAUCCAAUCACAGCCCACCCUGUUUGUCUGAUAAGCUGUUCACUUUCAUCCUGCUCGGGUUAGCUGAUGAUUGAAUAGGGGCAGCUGUAACACCCCAAAAUUUGCCCCCAUCAUCCAUGCAUUCAUUUUUAGGUCAUUUAACAUUUCAUAUUGCAUUUCAUCAUGUCAACCAGGAUCGAAUCCAAGAAGCUUGAACAUCAUCCAAGGCACUUUGUGGUUUCUAUUUAGAUGAUCAGUCAAUACAAUGGAGAGACUUGAGUUACUUCCGACAGGUUCAAAUGGGGUCUAUUCACCAUUCAAAACGCUAAUCUUGAGCGAGCAAAAUCUGUUUCUGAGUCGUCAUGCUCGCUAGGCGAGCAGCAUGGUUCGCUAGGCGAACUGAACUGUCAUGCUCGCUAGGCGAAGCCCACACGUUUUGAAAAAAAAAAUGAAAAAAACGAGAAAAAAAAUAAAAAAAUAAAAAAAAUAUAACAGAAAAAUCUUGGACUUGGACCUCUCUCUUUUGAGCCCACAAAGUCACAAAAAUC